UACGUAGGGGGCUAGCGUUGUCCGGAAUCAUUGGGCGUAAAGAGCGCGUAGGCGGCCAGAUAAGUCCGGUGUGAAAGUCAAAGGCUCAACCUUUGAAUGCCGCUGGAAACUGUCUGGCUAGAGUCCGGGAGGGGCGAGUGGAAUUCCCGGUGUAGUGGUGGAAUGCGUAGAUAUCGGGAGGAACACCAGUGGCGAAGGCGGUUGCCUGGAGCUUUGCUGACGCUGAUGCGCGAAAGCGUGGGGAGCGAUCCGG
rnacentral:rRNA from 1 species